GCGAUCCCUUUAACUAAGGAACACAGGUGACGUGGAGGUACAGCGCGUGUGACGAGAAUGGAGUAUUUUUCGUUUGAAUGUUGACAGCGGGAAGGUACUUUGUGUGUUUUGGUGAACUUCUUUUGAAACGAAAACUCCCAAUCCUGAUCAGCCAGAUGAGAAGGGGUAGAUUGAUGCUGUGGGCGUCGAACUCGAAGGCGAAUAUGCAGGAUUACCGUGAUUUGGACUCGCCGUAAUUCACCGGAGAAGUCUGCUUUCCUCACCGGAGAAGUCUUCUUUCCUCACCGGAGAAGUAUUCUUUCCUCACCGGAGAAGUCUUCCCUCCAAAGGACGGUACUGGCGAGAACGUCGUCUUGCUCCACGGGAAUGGCAGACCCCCAGGAAGCCUGUAGAGAGGGGGAGCAUGCAGCUGGACUCCCUGCAUUCCAGUGCUGAAGCUGGGCCAGGAGAGGAGAGAGCAGCCCAGGGGAUGGAGCAGGAGGAGAGUGCUGUCUAGACGCUGAUCUGAGGUCUGUCAUGGAGUCCCUGCCAAUGGAGACUAACAGCACUGGGAGAAGCUGGUCUGAUCCUGGAUCUGGGUCUUUGGACCAGUUCCACCAGGAUUUCUUUAAUAUCGCCAACAUUAUAUCCAUCAUGGAGAGUAAUCACAAUGAUGAUCAAUGUAUUAUCAUUUUCUUAUUUUGUUUAUAUUAGCUGUAGUUUGAUCCUUGACCUCUUGACAUUGAUAAUUAGUUUAAGAUGACUUAACAUGCAAUCUUGUGUGGUGGUAUUUCAGUGUUUUGUAUUUUUAUAUUGUUUAUAUAUUAUAUUAGUUUUCACCUCUCACUCUCUUACUGCCACUGAUUGUAGUUGUUUAUAGGAAAGAGAUGAUGAAUCUCAGUCUCAUUAUAUUACUAAUAAAGUUACAAUCAAGGA